UACGUAGGGCGCAAGCGUUGUCCGGAAUUAUUGGGCGUAAAGAGCUCGUAGGCGGCUUGUCGCGUCGGAUGUGAAAGCCCGGGGCUUAACCCCGGGUCUGCAUUCGAUACGGGCAGGUUAGAGUGUGGUAGGGGAGAUCGGAAUUCCUGGUGUAGCGGUGAAAUGCGCAGAUAUCAGGAGGAACACCGGUGGCGAAGGCGGAUCUCUGGGCCAUUACUGACGCUGAGGAGCGAAAGCGUGGGGAGCGAACAGG
rnacentral:rRNA from 1 species